UAAGUAAAUAGCCUUAGUAGCUUAUUAAAAGCA
rnacentral:tRNA from 1 species